GUUGGAAACAUGGAAGCCACAAUCUCAAACCUCAAACUCGGAGCCUUUCACACACUCUCAUCCAACCUCUCACCACCAUUUUCUCUCAGAUUUUCCCUCACUUUCCCAGAAACUAGUAGAAAGAAAUCCACUACUCUUAGGCAAACUUCUUCUUCUUCAAUCUCUCACAUUCCCCUAAGAGUGUCUGCAAAUUCCCAAGCAGCCCCUGCUUCAACCCAAGCUACCAAAGUCUCC
rnacentral:misc_RNA from 1 species